CCUCCCCCCGCCCCUCCCCGCCCCUCCCGCGACCGCCGCUCGGCACGCGAACAGCCUACCCUGGGUGCACCGCGCGCCCGCCCCUGCCGCUCAGCCCGCCAAUCCUGCCUCGGGGAGGGUGCCGUGGUAACCAAUGAGAAGCCGGGACGCCGUUGCGCUAGGCUGGAGGGCGGGAGGAGGUGGAGGGAAAGCCGAGCGUUGAAGCGGCCUCGGGCGGCCCAAUGAGGAGGGCCGGGGGGCGGAGGUGUGCAAGUUGGGUUGAAGGAACAGGAAAUAUUCUUAAAGGUAGAGUGACGGGCAGGAAGGAAAGCCAGUAGGUGACUGGGAAAGAGGUGGGCCUGGUUCCUUAAAGGGGCCGCCUUGAGAACCUGGUAAAGGUGUUUUAGGAAACUUCUUUUUUAUCUUGUUCGGUGUUCUGCUUUCCGCGUUGUGGUGUGCGAGUUUGGAAGUGGAAGAACUGAAGAGGAAGAGGCACAUGAAGUUUAAAUUGGCCUUGGAAUGCAUUUGGCAAACGCAAUUGAAAGCUUCAGAUAACAAAGACACCAUAAUUCAGAACAUAAUGGCAAUGCUAAUAUCCACGCUAUAAAAUUGUAUCGUAUUAGUGUGUCCAGCUGUAGGAAAUAAUUUGCCCUGUGGUUAGAAUUUAAGGCAAUCUGGUUAACAAAUAUACCUAGGACAUGCAUGAUUUCCUAAACUACAACGUACUGUUUCUAAACUAAAACCACAAAAAUGUUUUUAAGAUUCAGACAACUGAAUUUAAGAGACCGCUAUUUAAAAACACACUCUAAUAUUAUCCUGGCACAAUUUCCAAGUGGACUAUAAGAAUAAUUUCUGUUUGAUAAAAGGCAGACAGUUCUUAAAUGUAAUUCUCAUCUCCGAACUGAAGCCCAGUUCCAUCCAGGGAACUUGCUAGCUUUAGCCGUAUCAUGUUGGUUAACUGUGAUACCUACGAGAGGAAGACAUCGGAGAAUCGCACCAGGCCUGUUUCAGGGCUGCCUGGCAUGUAAGCACAGUGCUUAUAUAUAUUUUUUAAAAAUCGAAUGAAACUGCUCAUUGUCCCUAGGCAAGUUCAUUUUUCACACGGAUAGAGUGAAUCUGAUUUUCAGGCACAUGCUUGAGGCCCCUUGAGUGGUGUUAAAAGACUAGCUGCAUGAUUUACAAGCGGUUGUGUGCAUCCCGUUUCAGUUCAAGACACACCUUGUUUCCUACCGGGGAUGAGGGACCACGGAAGGAGGCCGGUGACAGCCGCGGUGGGAGUGGGUGCCGGGGCUGCGGGGUCUGGUCUGUUCGGGCGGCCAGAGGCGAGGGCUCCUCCCUGGGGAUCCCAGCGAGCAGAGCUCAGCUUGCGGAUGCCGGCCGGUGAGGGGCUCGCCCUGCGCCCGGCCCCCGGCCCCCAGGUGCCCGUGAGCCGAGAGGCCCCAAGCUGCCCUGAGCGCAUAAAGAGCCCUUCGGCCUGGGUCUGGACAGAUGGCCUCUUGCUGCCUCCUUCACCUUGUCCUCUCCAUCCCCUAUUCUAUUUGCCCUCUGAAUUUCGCCAGUGGGCAGACAGGCACGGCUGGUCCUGAACUCUCACACCUCUGAGUUACAAGUUCCCUAUGUAUUCUGAAUUAUUAAACCCCUUUCUCAGAUACAUGAUGUGCAAACAUUUCCACCCAAUCUGUGACUUGCUCCUGAUUCUUAAUCUUGCCUUCAUUCUGUUCCCCAGGCAACUACUGCUGUACCAAUACAUUAGCUUUCAGUUUCUGGGAUUUUAUACCAAUGAGAUCAUUCAGCAUAUAUACUUUUCAAUCUAUCUUCUUUUAGUGUAUUUUAAGAUUGUGUACAUCUGUAAUUCAUUAUCUUCAACUGAUGAGCUCUAUAUGGUGAUACACGUAUCACCUCUUAGUGGAAAAUGGGAUUGUUCCCUUUUAACUAUUACAAAUAGAUGCUAUGAACAUCCAUGGAUGUCUUUUGUAUGGGCAUUUGCUUUCAUUUCGUGUAAUACAUGAGUAAAUAUCCUCUAUAAGGGUUGAGUCCUUGGUAGGUGUUUAUCUUUAAAAAAAAAAAAAAAAACACCAAAUUGCUCCACAAAACUGUUAACAUUUUAUAUUCCCCCCAGCAGUUUGUUUUGUCAACGCCUGGAUUGGCAGUCUAAAUUUUAGUCAUUCUAAGUGAGGCAUCAUGGUGUUUGUGAUUUUAACUUGCAUUUUCAUAUUGCUAAUGCUGCACAUUUUUCUUGUGCUUAAGUCUUUUGUACAUUACUGAAGCCUUGUUCAAAUCUUUUGCCCAUUUUUAUUGUUAUUGGUUCUUUAUUUCAAGAAUUCUUUAUAUAUUUGAUUACAAAACUUCAAAUACGUGCGUGCAAAUAUUUUCUACCCAUUCCUGAUUUUUUAUUUUCUAAUGGUAUCUUUCAAAUAGCAGCUCUUUUCUAUAUCCAGCUUAUCAAUUAUUUCUUUUGUGGCUCAUGUUUACAGUGUCAUAUCUAAGACACCUUUGACUAACAUAAAGUCACACACUUUUUUCCCAUGGCCACCAGUUACAGCUCCCUGCUAAUGCACCUGGGAGAGCAGAAGAUGGCCCAAGUGGUUGGGCCUCUGCCACCCACAUGGGAGAUCCAGAUGGACUUCCAGGUUCCUGGCUUCAGCCUGGCCUGCCCCUGGCUGUUGCAGGUAUUUGGGGAGUAAACCAGUGGAUGGAAAAUAUUGCUGUCGUUUCCCUGUGUAACUCACCUUUCAAAUAAAACAUCAAAAAAUAAAUCUAUAUUAAAAUUUUUAAUAUUAGUUAGAAAUGCAAUUUUUAUAUCUUGUGAUCUUGUUACCCUGUAUGUUCUAGUAGCUUUUAAAAUUUUGGGGGUAUCUUAGUGUUUACUAUUUAAUCAUCUGCAAAUAUAAACUAUUUUACUUUCCAAUCUGCAUGUUUCUUUUUAUCUUAUUGGACUGGCUUGGUCUUUCAGUACAAUAUUGUAUAGUAUUGAAAGCAUGCCGUUACCACUUUCCAUUCUUAGAGGCAAAGAAUUCCCUUUACCAAAGUAUGGUGAUGGUUGAAGAUUUUAUCUUUUCAGGUUGUUUUUUAAUUCCUAGUGUUUAAAGUUAUGAAUGUUAAAAUCUUGUCAAGUACUUUUUGUCUCCUCUAUUAAUCACAUUUUAAAAAAUGUUGCUGACAGUGAAUAAUUUUUAUCAAACUCAUUCCUGGGACUAACACCUGUUUGAUCACACAUCACUUUAAUAAUUUGGGGUUGAUUUGCUAGCAUUUUCCUAAAGUUUUUCACACCUGUAUUAACGUCAUGUCUUUAUUUGGUUUCGUUAUCAGUAUAAUGAGUUGGGCAAUAUUCCUUUGUUUUUUUUAGAAUAUGCUGAAUUGACACUAUUUCUUCCCUAUUUAUAAAACCCACAAAAAAGAGCCAUCUGGACCUGGAGUUUACUUUAUGGGAGGAGUUUUAAGUACAGAUUCAAUUUGUCCAACUAUUUCUGAGUUACAUGUUUAUGUUAUUUUCUUCUCAGUUUAGGUGCAACUGACUCUUCAUUUUUUAGUUUAUUAAGGUUGAAAUUUAAAAAUCUUUGACAGGGGCCGGCACCUGUGGUGCUGGCAUACCAUAUGGGCACCAGGUUCUAGUCCUGGUUGCUCCUCUUCCAGUCUAGCUCUCUGCUGUGGCUCGAGAGGGCAGUGGAGGAUGGCCCAAGUGCUUGGGCCCCUGUACCCACAUGGGAGAUUGGGAAGAGGCUCCUGGCUCCUGAUUGGCAUGGCUGUGGCCACUGCAGCCAUUUGGGGGGUAAACUAUGGGAUGGAAGACCUUUCAAUAACUCUACCUGUCAAAUAAAUAAAUAAAAUCUUAAAAAAAAAAAAUCUUUGACAGAAGAUAUUUUCCUUAUAUGCAUUUAAUGGUAAGAAUUAUCCUUUAGGCUUCUUUAGCAGCAUUUUGAAUAUUUACUUGAAAGGCAGAGAUCAUCUAGGACUCCUGAGUGUGACAAGGACCCAAGUACUUCAGCCAUCACCUGUUGCCCUCAGGGUGUGCAUUAGCAGAAAGCUAAAAGAGGGAAGAGAUGUGCAAUUGCGGAGAUCUUUCAUUUAGGUUUUUUUUUCCCCCACAGUAUCUUGGCUUUCCAUGCCUGAAAUAUUCUCAUGGGCUUUUCAGCCGGGUCUGCAUGCCUUAAGGGCUGAUUCUGAUGCCAGAGUGCUGUUUAGGACAUCUGCCAUUCUAUGGGUCUGCUGUGUAUCUCACUUCCCAUGUUGGAUCGUUCUCUCCUUUUUUUAUUCUAUCAGCUAGUGUUUGCAGACACUAUUCUUGUUUAUGUGAUCCCUUUGGUUCUUAGUCUAUCAUUAUGAUCAAUUGUGAACAGAAAUUGAUCACUGGGACUAGUCAUUAUACAAGACUUCCAUUAUUGAUAAGUAUGAUUCUCAAGGAUGAGAGACCUUAAUAAGCUCCUCAAGUUUGGUCAACAAAACAGAAAAAAUUUAUCAUUACAUAUUCUUUCAGGCCAUUGGCCAUUUAGAGCCUUUGUUGAGCUCAAACAUCAAUUUUUGAGGAUAGCAAAUAAAACUGGGAUAAAAUUAAGCUAUAUGGCAAGGUAACUUCUGUAAAUCCAGAAUACCUCAAAGUUCACAAACACCUAAAUAUUCAAUAGAGUAUCUUCCCAAAUGCUGGAUUUAGGUUUUCAUUGCAACAUAAAAAGACCAUCAUCACUCAAGACUUAAAUUCUAUGCUUCACAGUAAUGUCCUGCUCACAAAUGUUUCUGAAUCAGACUUCGACUCUAGAUAAAAAAUUUCUGCCUAAGUCAAGUACUUUUAAGUUUACAGAAACAAAAAGCUGAGUUUCUGUCCCAAUAACUGUCCUGACUUCACAUUCCCCAGUGUUAAUGACACUUACAUUCCAAAAUGACUCAAGCCUUUAUUUCCAUAUGGUUGUGUUUACUUGGCAGUAUUAUAAUCCAGAAUUAAGUUCCUGUGGUUCAGCCUUGGAUGGGAGAUAUAAUUCAGCACCUUCUGCCAUAGGCAAUAUUUUUCCCUGAAAGAUUCCCAUAGGUUCACUCUUGUUCUUGUGAACACAGCAUCUUAAGUUCUUUAAAGUACUCAAAAACAUUAGCUGGGAAAGCAUCAAUCUGAGUCUUCCCUUUCUUUUUAGAACCAACCACAAACACAGAACUUUUAGGCUAACUCCCUUUCUUUCAUAGUUGGAAUUAUCAAGUGUAGUGCUUUCUAACCCUCCUUGGGAUAAUCCUUUGAGACACUAAUAAAACAUAACCUCACCACCCUUGCCAGUGUGAGAGCCAGUGUCCUAAAUGCCCAAUGAUCUUCACCUCAGUAUUCACAUACUUGUAUUAUUCCCUCCUACACUGCACCACGCUGGUAUAAUGGUUGAUCUGGUAUAUGGCGAAAGUCAAGUCAUCUAAGGCUAAGCUAUACAAGAGCAUGGCUUCUGUUUAUUCUCUUGGACCACUGAGUGAAGCCAGAUGGCAGUUGUCACUCAGGAAGUCCUAUAGAAACAUUCAUAGCAAGGCAGAGAGUCCCAACAGCUAUGUGAGCAAGCCAUCUUUAAGUAGCUCCUCUAGUCCUUGUCAACACUUCAAGCAGAUACAGUCCUGGCUGACAGCUUGACUGCAACCUUAUGAGAUUUCAAGCCAAAACCAUCCAGCUAAGCUGUUCCUCAUUUCUGCCUCAAAAACUGUGGGGUAAUAUGUUUGUUGUUUUAAGCUGCUAAAUUUGAGAGUGAUGAGCUCAGCAAUGAUAAGACACAUUAGCAAAAAGAUCAUCCACUGUUUCUUAAAUGGAAUCAGCAAAUUUGAGUUAAUUUUCCUAAAGACAUAAUUUCAAAUUCAUAUUUCAUAUUCAGGAAAAUAUUUAAGUUUCUUCAGUCAACUAUAAACUUCUUCCUCAAAUAAAAAAGAAAGAUGUGAAUGUUACCCACAGUUAAAAUCAAAAUGCAGUAGCAGGACAACUCUUUUUUUGGAUCUUAUUUUUUCUCUCAUCAGGACUGAACUCCAGUUGAUCUUAGGUAGUAGUUCUAUCAAGUUCCAAAGGGUGUAAAAUAGGGUAACUUGAUUACAGCUGGACUACUUCAAUGAGUUUUAAAUUAGAUAUUAAAGAAGUGUGAAAGGAAAUGAAACAGAAGAGCAAUAUACAACUACAUAUAGAUCUUGACUGCAGAAUUCAGCAUAAUUCAAGUUUUCCUUGGCAUUCAUAGACAUCACAGAUCACUACCAGAACAUCACGUAAGUUUAUUUCAGAUGUAACAGCAAUGUUAAAAUUGACAAGUUUAAUCUUUACUGCACCAAGUAAACUUAACCAUUAAGUAUUUUUUUUAAAGUUAUCCCCUCCAAAAAACUGAGGGAGCUUUUCUUUUUCCACCACCACAUAUCAAAGUUUCCCAAUAGUUCUCUUUUUGGAGGACUUUCAAUUGAUGAGUAACUGCCUUUGAGAUACAUUUCAGAACUUCUUUCCUCAAAUAAAAACUAAUCUGGACAAAUUAUAUAUUGCAUAGAUUUCUCUACAGAUGCUUUUCUUUAGAACCCAAAUGGAAAUACCCUACAGUAAAAUUUUAACUGUUUUGCUCACAGUAAGAACUAUCUGACCUGAAAAAUAUGAUGAAUAUACAUUGUGAUCUUCCAGUUAACACAAGUAUUGUUUGACUUUAAAGAUAGUUUUCACCAUAUAUCAAAUAAUCAAAUCAACAUGGGACAUUACAUUAGUCUUUACUGAUUCAUAGGCAUAUGAACUAGACCUAGCUUCUACCUGUUCCACUUCCUCUUCCUCUAUAAGUGGACAGAAUACAAGUUUGAUGUAGGACAAUUAACCCUUUACAAACAUUUACAAUUUAGAAUAAGUCACUGACAAGUGUGGAAAAAGAAAUUCUAUGAUAGGGAACCUAAACACUCAAUUCAAAAUUUUUUUCUUCCUUAAAUAACAUGUACUUAAUAAUGAGGCAGCUAUUCGGUUUUUCAAUAACAACAUUUAGGGAUACAUUCAUAGGACUGAUUAGACAGUCCAGGUGAAAUGGUUAUAGAAAUAGAGGCAGUGUCAUUUAUAUAUCAAAAUCUAUUUUGAUAUCUGGAAGUUUACAAAAAAGCUGAAUUCUUCAAACUAAUUAUGCCUUCUGUGUCUUAAGCACUCUUUUCUUGGCAAGACCAAGCUGAAACUUAUCCAUGAAGAUAAAGGUGCUUAACUACUAAACUUUUCUUCUAACCUUAGAUUUGGACUGUUUAAACGUUUAAGAAACUGAUACCCUAAAAACCAGUAUGGUCUUUUCUACAUUUAACUAUCUGGAGUUUAGAACCCUAUAAACUCACUCAUCAAUUAUCUUUCUUUUCUGUAUUAUUCUUGGCACUCAAUUAAGUCUGGCAAAGUCUACUGUACUUUGUACUUUCACAUUCUCAAACAAAAACUUAACAUUAUAAAGUGUACAUAAGCACUUUGCAUAAUAAUUGUCAUUUAACAUAUCUGGAGAUGAAACCUCAUACCAGCAUUUACAAAACAGGAUAAGUAUUAUGAAUCAAUAUUCCACUUAAGUCCAAGCCCUGUACACUGUUUUAAAGUUUAAUGAGGGCAUUUUUGGGGUCAUCAGUACUGGCAAUCUGUUCUAAAUAUUGGAGAUGGGACUAUGGGAGGAAAACAUGAAUAUUUCAGAUAUCUCCUAUCUCACAAAACUCAAUCUGUCAAAGUCACUCACUAAGUGCCAGAAAACUAUCUGGCAUAAACCAGUCAUAUCAGUAGAAGAGGUCACAGUGAUAUCUGCAUUAUUAACACUUUGUACUUCUACUUUUCCAAGAAUAGAAGCACUAUGUUUCACAAUUCCCCUUACCCAAAAUUCUUCAACUCAAAAUACAUAGGCACAGAGUCUAAGCAAAUCUGAGAUGUUCUCCAACAGAUAAGGUAUAUCACAGCUAUGUUAUUCUCAAAAAUACUGUCUAGAUAUUCUUACCUGUAUUAUCAAAUGAUUGAUGGUCACACUUUUAACAGCCUGCAUUAGUCAACAUUAAAUGCAUUUAUUGUGCCACAAGUACAUCUAUGCUUCCUUUUUAGGUUAUUUUUUAAUAUGUCCAAGAAGAAACAUCUGCUUAAGGAUUACUUAAGGGCAUUGACCUAUAAGGACAUCAAUUCCAUUUUUAAUACGAAACUAUUACUGGAUUUACUGAAGAAAAAGAAAAGGAGAAAAAACUUAAAUCACAACAAACUUCUUUAGGUCAGUUAAAGGCCAUAUCUCUAGCUGGGAUAUUAAAGAAAAAUUAAUCUCACCAGCCCAACUCUCAAAGUUAAUGCCACUAGUAACAAUCAACAGCAGGAAAAAAAACCUGCUAACAAGCCCACUCAUUAACAAAAAAGCAGUUUAAUUCAAAUACUUAAACCAAAGUAUAACACUACCUACCCAAACUGCCCCAUCCACCAACAAGAGAAGAAAUAAAUUGCUUUAGAAACCAAAAUAAACUUAGUACUUCUAACAAGGAUAACAAUGGUUCAACUCCUGAGAGUGCUCAGAAGGAAGGACUAAAGGUGGAGUGAAGGCAAUGUCAAGGGAUUAAUCCCCCAAAUAGUCUUUAAAAAUUCAAAGUACCACAAACACACUAAACUUGUCUAUGAAUUGGAGAACAAGAUAUUGCUGCUGCUUUUUGUCUUUUGAAAUGAAAGGUUUUGUAGGCUCUGACCUUCAAUGUGAAAGCAGGACAUUAAAAAAAAAAUCAGCUAAAAAAUUUGAAAUUAUGACACCCAAAUUUUUG